rnacentral:rRNA from 1 species
GUCCAGCAGUCGAGAAAACUUCACACUGUGCGAAAGCACGAUGAGGGAAUCCCAAGUGCUUGCACGUAAGUGUAAGCUGUUUCUCUGUCUAAAACGCAGAGAGAGUAAGGGCUGGGUAAGACGGGUGCCAGCCGCCGCGGUAAUACCUGCAGCUCAAGUGGUGACCGUUAUUAUUGGGCCUAAAACGUCCGUAGCCGGUUUAAUAAAUGCCUGGGUAAUUUGUGUAGCUUAACUAUACGAAUUCCGGGUAGACUGUUAAACUUGAGACCGGGAGAAGUUAGAGGUACUCCUGGGGUAGAGGUGAAAUUCUGUAAUCCUAGGGGGACCACCAGUGGCGAAGGCGUCUAACUAGAACGGGUCUGACGGUGAGGGACGAAGCCCUGGGGCGCAAAAC